rnacentral:rRNA from 1 species
GCAGUCGAGCGGUAAGGCCCCUUCGGGGGUACACGAGCGGCGAACGGGUGAGUAACGCGUGGGUAACCUACCCAGAAGUGGGGGAUAGCCCCGGGAAACCGGGGGUAAUACCGCAUGUACCACAGCCAACGCGAGUCGGUUGUGGAAAAGGCGGGGAUCCUUCGGGACCUGUCGCUUCUGGAUGGGCCCGCGUCCGAUUAGCUUGUUGGUGGGGUAACGGCCUACCAAGGCUGCGAUCGGUAGCCGGCCUGAGAGGGUGAACGGCCACAUUGGGACUGAGACACGGCCCAGACUCCUACGGGAGGCAGCAGUGGGGAAUUUUGGGCAAUGGGCGCAAGCCUGACCCAGCGACGCCGCGUGGAGGAUGAAGGCCUUCGGGUUGUAAACUCCUGUCAGGUGGGAAGAAAUGCCCGUCGGUGAAUAGCUGACGGGAGUUGACGGUACCACCAAAGGAAGCCCCGGCUAACUCCGUGCCAGCAGCCGCGGUAAUACGGAGGGGGCAAGCGUUAUUCGGAUUUACUGGGCGUAAAGCGCACGUAGGCGGCUAGGCAAGUCGCAGGUGAAAGCCCUCGGCUCAACCGAGGAACUGCCUGCGAAACUGCUCUGCUUGAGUCCGG